GCUAGCAUUCCUCAUGAGCAGGAACUGGCAUUCACUUUAUAGGAAAGCUGUAAUAUAAUGUAGCUGCAACAUAACUUGCCAGGAAAGGCUGGUUAAGACACAAGCAUGUGUUUUGUAAGCCAAGUAUUGUGAAACUCAACAUACAAGGAGGGUGGGAAGUUUCUCCUACUCCACCAAUUUCUGCAAGUGCCAAAGAAUUUACUUUGUGCCUGGUUCCAGUUUGAGCUGCAGGCAGAAUCUGGUGAACAGAGUGAAAUACUGUGAGGAACAUGGAUUUCUGACCUGACAGUAAAUGUGACAAACCAGUAAUCUUAAUGGGAUAUUUUGUUUCUUGAGGUGACCAAAAAGGAUGGAGAGAAGCUCUGCUUUGGGGUGUUUAUGCACACUGAAUCUCUGAGAUUGCUUUGCUUGGGUAAGAAAGACAGGCAUACACCUGAGCAGCAUCUACCCAACUUAUUAGGGGAAUUUAAACAUACAGAAAUGGAUAAAGGGAAGGAGAUGAAUUUGGGACAUUCUGCCACAACAGCUGCUGGCCUGUCUGCUCAAAUAAAUAAGACCAGUAAAUGUCUUGAGGGCAAAUCAAAUAGAAUCUCAAUGCAAUAAUAUGUAAAUAGCUACUGGGUAUUUGGCAUGCUUGUGUUUCCUAAGUUCUCCUAGUUUGUGUUGAGUGCACCCUUCCCUCACUUGAUUUCAACAGGCAAAACACAUACAAGCCACAGCUUCUUACAGUGAUGGUAAGGCAUAACAUCUCAAUAACGUCUCAAUAUUGGUGUGCCCAGAGCCUUUGUCCAGGGAAAGAAAGUGAUGAUGGACUGAAAAUUAACAAGAGCACUGUAGUGUAUAUUUCUGGGUCUAUGACUGUGUCCUGCUUAGGGAAUCAGAUAAGGUUGAUUUGCACAUUCCUUCUGUUAAUGGCUUUGUGAUCCUGCAGCAAACUCAAUUUGUAUCCAUAAUGAAAACUUACAAUGUUAGUGGCAGUAUUAAUAUCAGUGUAAUUAAUAAUGCUAUUUAUAUCAUCAAGAGACAGUCACUAAUUAUGCAGAAGGAUUUAUAUCUAACAUCAGAUUAACCUUCUCUCACCAGGCAACAGCUUGAACUUGUUUUCACCCAAGUAACUCAUUAAGGGAGAUGCUCAGAAGCAUUGCCAUGGGCGCAGAGAGCUGCUGCAUGAGGGCAACUGAAAUGUCAUCGUCAACUGCAGCACUGCCAGAUCAGUUCAAAAAGACCUGAAAAUGGGAUGGAAAUGGAAUUGCACUUUAGGGCAACAAGAGGUCACAGCACUUGUGUGAGUAUCAGUUCUCAUAUCUGAUGAGAAUACGGGUUGCUCUGUUUGUGUUCCCUGUCUUUGGCCGCGUUCUGUGUGAUACUGUUCUGUACCACCAAUAACAUUUUGAAUGUCACUGGUGCAUUUCUGGAGCUGAGGUGCCUUUGCAGGGCAGUGUCACUGGGGAACUGAGUGCUUCCAUUCAUUUACAAACCAGAAAAUAAUCUGCAGCUUUUGGAGCUGGAAAUAUCCCCAAACGUAUAUGAUGUGUUUAGUCCAGUUGCAUUAUGCAUGUCCUUAGCUACGCUGAGGGCUUCUCAGGAGGUGCAGCUAUCACCACAGUCUAGACAACUACUUAUUCUUCCCUCUGAUACACAAGAAGAUUUCAGAGAAGGCAGUUUCAGCCUGCUGUCUUUGGGUUCAGCCUGAUCUGAGCAAACACUCCAGGAGGGGUGAAGGACACCCGAGGGCUCUGUGCAGUUUGCAGUUCACCGUGGAGAGCUGUAAAUUUCCCAUGUUAAUCCCCUGCCAACCAGAUUAAAAGCUUUUCAGAUCCUUUGCAGCUUUUAUUUUUCUUUUUUAAGAAACAACCUGUAGAGUUCUGUAAUCUCCACUGAAAACAGUAGCAUUCAGUGAGGUGAGAGGG